GCAGUCGGAUUCGCAUCAAUCCAUAUGUAUUUGGGUGGAUUGGAGUGGAACUUGAACUAAAUUCCACCCAAAUCCAUUCCAACACAUGUGGAUUGAGUUGAAUCCAAAA
rfam:Sorghum bicolor cultivar BTx623 chromosome 2, whole genome shotgun sequence.